GAUGAACGCUGGCGGCGUGCCUAAUACAUGCAAGUCGAGCGAACGGACGAGAAGCUUGCUUCUCUGAUGUUAGCGGCGGACGGGUGAGUAACACGUGGAUAACCUACCUAUAAGACUGGGAUAACUUCGGGAAGCCGGAGCUAAUACCGGAUGAUAUUUUGAACCGCAUGGUUCAAAAGUGAAAGACGGUCUUGCUGUCACUUAUAGAUGGAUCCGCGCUGCAUUAGCUAGUUGGUAAGGUAACGGCUUACCAAGGCAACGAUGCAUAGCCGACCUGAGAGGGUGAUCGGCCACACGGGAACUGAGACACGGUCCAGACUCCUACGGGAGGCAGCAGUAGGGAAUCUUCCGCAAAGGGCGAAAGCCUGACGGAGCAACGCCGCGUGAGUGAUGAAGGUCUUCGGAUCGUAAAACUCUGUUAUUAGGGAAGAACCUAUGUGUAAGUAACUGUGCACAUCUUGACGGUACCUAAUCAGAAAGCCACGGCUAACUACGUG
rnacentral:rRNA from 1 species